rnacentral:rRNA from 1 species
CAUAUCAAUAAGCGGAGGAAAAGAAACUAACAAGGAUUCCCCUAGUAACUGCGAGUGAAGCGGGAAAAGCUCAAAUUUAAAAUCUGGCAGCCUUCGGUUGUCCGAGUUGUAGUCUGGAGAAGCGUCUUCCGCGCUGGACCGUGUACAAGUCUCCUGGAACGGAGCGUCAUAGAGGGUGAGAAUCCCGUCUUUGACACGGACUACCAGUGCUUUGUGAUGCGCUCUCAAAGAGUCGAGUUGUUUGGGAAUGCAGCUCAAAAUGGGUGGUAAACUCCAUCUAAAGCUAAAUAUUGGCGAGAGACCGAUAGCGAACAAGUACCGUGAGGGAAAGAUGAAAAGCACUUUGGAAAGAGAGUUAAACAGUACGUGAAAUUGCUGAAAGGGAAACGCUUGAAGUCAGUCGCGUUUGCUAGAACUCAGCCUGGCCUCGGCUUGGUGCAUUUUCUAGUGAACGGGCCAGCAUCACUUUUGGUUGCGGGAUAAAGGUCGCAGAAAUGUGGCACCCUCGGGUGUGUUAUAGUCUGCGGCUGUAUACCGUGGCUGGGAGUGAGGAACUCAGCACGCGCAAGCUGUGCUUAGGAUGCUGGCGUAAUGGCUUUAAACGACCCGUCUUGAAACACGGACCAAGGAGUCUAACAUGCCUGCGAGUGUUUGGGUGGAAAACCCGAGCGCGUAAUGAAAGUGAAAGUUGGGAUCUCUGUCGUGGAGAGCACCGACGCCCGGACCAGACCUUCUGUGACGGAUCCGCGGUAGAGCAUGUAUGUUGGGACCCGAAAGAUGGUGAACUAUGCCUGAAUAGGGUGAAGCCAGAGGAAACUCUGGUGGAGGCUCGUAGCGAUUCUGACGUGCAAAUCGAUCGUCAAAUUUGGGUAUAGGGGCGAAAGACUAAUCGAACCAUCUAGUAGCUGGUUC